rnacentral:rRNA from 1 species
UGGGGAAUUUUGGACAAUGGGGGCAACCCUGAUCCAGCAAUGCCGCGUGUGUGAAGAAGGCCUUCGGGUUGUAAAGCACUUUUGUCCGGGAAGAAAUCGCACCUGAUAAUACCGGGUGUGGAUGACGGUACCGGAAGAAUAAGGACCGGCUAACUACGUGCCAGCAGCCGCGGUAAUACGUAGGGUCCAAGCGUUAAUCGGAAUUACUGGGCGUAAAGCGUGCGCAGGCGGUUGUGCAAGACCGAUGUGAAAUCCCCGGGCUUAACCUGGGAAUUGCAUUGGUGACUGCACGUCUAGAGUGUGUCAGAGGGGGGUAGAAUUCCACGUGUAGCAGUGAAAUGCGUAGAGAUGUGGAGGAAUACCGAUGGCGAAGGCAGCCCCCUGGGAUAACACUGACGCUCAUGCACGAAAGCGUGGGGAGCAAACAGG